rnacentral:lncRNA from 1 species
GCUGGGGUUGUACUAUAGAUGGUGGGUGGUGUGGAGGGAGGGGAUGGAGGGGAGAAUGAGGGGCUGGGGUUGUACUAUAGAUGGUGGGUGGUGUGGAGGGAGGGUUUGGAUGGAGGGGAGAAUGAGGGGCUGGGGUUGUACUAUAGAUGGUGGGUGGUGUGGAGGGAGUGAGGGGAUGGAUGGAGGGGAGAAUGAGGGGCUGGGGUUGUACUAUAGAUGGUGGGUGGAGGGAGGGAGGGGAUGGAUGGAGGGGAGAAUGAGGGGCUGGGGUUAUACUAUAGAUGGUGGGUGGUGUGGAGGGAGGGGAUGGAUGGAGGGGAGAAUGAGGGGCUGGGGUUGUACUAUAGAUGGUGGGUGGUGUGGAGGGAGGGGAUGGAUGGAGGGGAGAAUGAGGGGCUGGGGUUGUACUAUAGAUGGUGGGUGGUGUGGAGGGAGGGGAUGGAUGGAGGGGAGAAUGAGGGGCUGGGGUUGUACUAUAGAUGGUGGGUGGUGUGGAGGGAGGGAGGGGAUGGAUGGAGGGGAGAAUGAGAGGCUGGGGUUGUACUAUAGAUGGUGGGUGGUGUGGAGGGAGGGAGGGGAUGGAUGGAGGGGAGAAUGAGGGGCUGGGGUUGUACUAUAGAUGGUGGGUGGUGUGGAGGGGAUGGAUGGAGGGGAGAAUGAGGGGCUGGGGUUGUACUAUAGAUGGUGGGUGGUGUGGAGGGAGGGAGGGAGGGGAGAAUGAGGGGCCGGGGUUGUACUAUAGAUGGUGGGUGGGAGGGAGGGAGGGGAUGGAUGGAGGGGAGAAUGAGGGGCUGGGGUUGUACUAUAGAUGGUGGGUGGUGUGGAGGGAGGGGAUGGAUGGAGGGGAGAAUGAGGGGCUGGGGUUGGACUAUAGAUGGUGGGUGGUGUGGAGGGAGGGGAUGGAUGGAGGGGAGAAUGAGGGGCUGGGGUUGUACUAUAGAUGGUGGGUGGUGUGGAGGGAGGGGAUGGAGGGGAGAAUGAGGGGCUGGGGUUGUACUAUAGAUGGUGGGUGGUGUGGAGGGAGGGGAUGGAUGGAGGGGAGAAUGAGGGGCUGGGGUUGUACUAUAGAUGGUGGGUGGUGUGGAGGGAGGGAGGGGAUGGAGGGGAGAAUGAGGGGCUGGGGUUGUACUAUAGAUGGUGGGUGGUGUGGAGGGAGGGGAUGGAUGGAGGGGAGAAUGAGGGGCUGGGGUUGGACUAUAGAUGGUGGGUGGUGUGGAGGGAGGGGAUGGAUGGAGGGGAGAAUGAGGGGCUGGGGUUGUACUAUAGAUGGUGGGUGGUGUGGAGGGAGGGGAUG